GGACCACUAAAAAAUGCAAUUGACUGGGCAUCAAGAGCACCAAAUGUUUGGGCUGGUAAACCUGCUGCAAUAGUGAGUGCUGGAGGAGGCUUUGGUGGGGGAAGAUCACAGUAUCAUCUACGCCAAAUUGGAGUAUUUUUGGAUCUUCAUUUCAUCAACAAACCUGAAUUCUUCAUCAAUGCAUUCCAGCCACCAGCAAAGUUUAACAGUGAUGGUGACUUGAUUGAUGAAGAUGCCAAAAUUAGGUUGAAGGAAAUCCUUCUGUCCUUGAAGACAUUUACCCUUAGACUUCAAGGGAAAAAUUGAGACAACCAUGAUUCCCAAAGAGUGUUGAAUGGAUUUUGGCUCAUACCUUUUAUGACUGUUUUCUGCAGAGACAAGAUAACGUACAUGUUUUUACAUUUUGUAACUUUUGUCUAUAUUGGUGUGUCUUGGUUUGUUUUGCUGCUAUUUGAGUAAAAUCCACAUGCCUUAAAUUAUAUUCAGUUCUACCACGUGAUGUGGCCAUGCAUGGGCUUGCUGUUAUAUCAGUUUCCUAUAUACAUCUAUAUAUUUGUAAUAUAACACAGAUCUAUCUCUUCAUUCAUAAUAAUAAUUCCUUUCUUGCACCUCUUCUCUUUCUCUCGCUCGUACAAAUUCAAGAUGAUCAAAUCCAUUAUAUAAUCGCAAAUAUUUUCUUUUUGUCUUAAAAUCAUGACAUGCUUUCUUUACUUAAAAAACAUGCUUGAGAAUGUAUUUCCAUUUUGAAAUAUUCUUUUUCACAUAAGUUCGUUUUACAUAUACCUUUAAAAUUAAAAGAUAAAAUAAUGUUAUAAAUUAAAAUUAGUUUAUACGUGAAUUAAAAAUAAAACAUUAGAAAAUUUACACACAAAAAACUGUAAAUUACCAUGAAAUUUUAUUAACGGAUUUAAAUUCAUUGAUAAUUAUAAUUUAUCAAUAGUAUUACUAACAAAAUUCUUUAUUUAAUUUGUUGUUGAAAUUAUUUGUCGAUAUGAUCAUAAAAGAAAAAUUUUGUCAAAAAUACUCGUCAAUAAUAUUAUACAAACAUUAUUGAAAAAAAGACUAGUCAUUAAAUUUAACAAAAUGAAAGAUAUCAAAAUUUCAUAUUUCUUUCCUACUUUAGUGGGAUGUUCGCUUUUUCUCCAAUCCCUUUACUCAUCCACGUUUCUAUCCUUAAUUAACUGAUUUACUGUUUCAUUCAUUGAUUCAUGCAUUCGCCUACUGAUAUCGUUAGUAAGUUUAAGGUUUUGAUUUUAGCAUAAUGUAUUUAAAGAAUGGUUCACUUAUUCAUUCAUUCUAGCAUUUUGCAUAGACGUUUGAUUUUGAAUGUGGUUCUUGAAUUAUAGGUUAGUAUUUGAGUGGACAAUUCUAAUACCAUUUUUAUCUCUACUUGCAAAGGUUAGAAAUUUUGUUCAUUUUAUCCAUCUAUUUUAGUUCCAAGUUUGUAGGUUGAGCUUGACAAUAUUACAAUCGGGUAGCUUGAGCUCGGCAACUCAACAAGACGAGCUUGGCAUAUCUAAUUUGCUAUAUUGUUUUUGUGAGUUGGUUUUCAAAGUUGUUAAUGUAAAUUCUACAUUUGCCUGGUUUGAUUGAGUUGCAUUCUCAGUUUCAGUAUAUCACAACAAUUAUGUUAUCAGCAUUAGGGUUGCGUUGUACUUUCAUUCAAUCUUUUAUCGACAUUGGUUUAACAUUUAAAUUACCAUCUAAAAAUUAUGCAUGUGUUCAUUGAAAACGCAUAGAAUAAAUCAAUUAUGAUAUCUAUUUUGAAUUCAAUUAAACAUUUCAUAUAGCACUGCAUGUUAUGAAUUAAAAUAUGUUAUCAUAUCAUAAUAGGUGUAGUAAAACUAGGUGUAAUAAAAUAUGAAUAACAGCCAGGGAGCUUGAGCUCGACAACAUAACUGCGUAGGCUGAGCUUGGCAGCUCAACAAGACAAGCUCGACAGUUGACAGCCUAAGCUCGACAACUUGACCGUCCUAACUAUGCAGAGGGACAAACUAAUUAACUUAAUUAGUAUUUAUACUUUCUUGAAACUAAUUCUAAAACUAAAAAUCAAAACCUAUACUAAACAAACUAACUAAUCUAGUUUAGUAAUUAAACAUGAUAAAGACAACCUUGGUUAAGUGUAGCUCUCCAAACUCCCUUUAAGCUUUCAGCAUGUGCAAUCAAGUGAUGUUUAAGGUGUCCAAUAACCAAAACUUGAUUUGGAGCUUUAACUUGAAAAGUCAACAUUGGGGUCAAUUAUGCAUCUUUUGUCAUUUUAAGUUGUGGUUCAAAUAUGAACCCUUGCUGGAUUUUUUUGCUUGAUCAACCUCUAAUCACCUUUAAUUCAUUGGACAUUUUCCUCCUCAAGCUCGUCACAGAACUUUACCGAAGUUCCCAUAUAUAACCGUUGUUAUAGUGGUAGGAGAGGUAUGAAGAAAACUUUUGUCAUAAGAGUUGAAGAGUUUGUCGAGAUGACUCGACAAUAUAAAUAUUAUGCUCUUGAUAAAGAGAUAAAAUGCACAUACAUCAGGUUCGAAUAUAGUAGAAUUUUGAAAGAUGAGGUGGUUAAAGUUCAUCCAAAUUACAAGAUUUGUACAUUUUAUGGUGAAGAAAUUCCCUCUGUUGAUUUAACUCCACGCAAAAGUUGCCAUAGUAGUUCAAGCACUUUUGUACAUAAUAUGAAUCAAUUUAUGUAUAUGCAAGAGAUGGUGAAUAAUACUCUAAGUCGAUAUACUUCAUUUGAACAAGCAACGAUAGUCGUUUAGAAGAUUCUCUAGAUGAAAUCAUUCAGAGGUUUUACAAUUUAUUGGUAAAGGAAAAUGAGCUUGUAUUUGAAGGGGUAAUAUAGAAUCAAAACUAUCAGUAUGCAUUAGACUUAUGGCUUGCAAAUCUAACUAGAACGUUCCCAACCAAGUAUUAGACUUCAUUUCAAAAAUAUUUUUAGAUCAAACACUAAAUAAUUCCUUACCAAACAAUUAUUUUGAAGCCAAGAGACGUGUUUCUAAGUUGGGAUUGGAAGUGAAGAAGAUUGAUUGUUGUGUGAAUGAUUGUAUGCUUUUUUAUGACAAUGAUAGUGGAAAAAAUUAUGCAUCUUUGCAUCAAUGCAAAUUUUGUGGGCAACCUUGGUAUCACACAAUCCAUCCAAGAUGAAAGCAAUAAAUAAAUAAAUUAUUCCAUUAAAGUUGGUGUUUUACUUGCCUAUAAUUUCAAGAUUAUAAAGAAUGUUUGAUUCAGUGCAAAUAGCACAUGACAUGAUAUGAUGAUAAAAAAGCACAAGGAAUGCUAUGUUAGAUAACACUUUUAUUAACUAAAAUUUCUUUUUAGCCUUAGUGUUAUACAAGAGAUGGACUUUCUUUUUCAUAAGAUGUUAGCUGGUUACUCAUAUAGUCUAUUAGAUGAUUUCAAAAGAGAAACACUUUAUUUAACGUUGCUUAUGAUUUGUGUUCAUUAGACAAUUUAGUCUAGAAAAAAUUAUUCAUAAGCUUGAUUUCAUUUAAAAUAAACGUUAUAAAAUUUGAAUUACUUAAACGUUAUUUUUGUUCAUUACACUUUAUUUGACGUUGCUUAUGAUUUUUAAUCAUUAUUUCUUUUAAACAUCUUUUGAUAUAUAAUAAUAUUUCGUCUAAUGUUUUUUAUUAAACUUUAAAAUCUGAAUUACUUAAACGUUCUAUUCUUUAGACAAUAUUGUCUUAACAGAAAAAGAUUGUAAAAUUAUUUCCAUUAGAAGUGAUCAUAAUAAGAAAUUCGAAAACAAAUUUUUUCAAAUGUUUUGCAAAAUUGAAGUUUGCAAAGAAAUGAUCAAAACUAUAUAUUAAACGAUUUUAAUACUCCUAAAAUUUAUGGGCUGAAAGAGUUAAUAUGACCUGUUAUCUUCAAAACAGAAAACCCAACAUUUCUUACUUUCAUCCAUUUAGUUGACAAUGUUUCAUAUUAAAUAUCAAAAAUAGUUUAAGAAAGUUUGACUUCAAAAUUUUAAAUCAUGACCCAACAUUAAAAAUAAGACUAAGACCAUUACUUAUUCUCCUUUUAAAAUAACUCACAAUUUGUGCUAGAAAGAACACAAAUACAAGCAUAAAAAUAUCUCUAAUAUUAAAACUUUAUAAUUUAAAAUAUUUAAUGAACAUCUGUCAAAAAAAAUGUAUAUAUGCUAUUUGUUUUAUCUCUUCAUAUAACGACAAAAUUAGCUAAACAUUUAAUUCACCACCUUGUGGGAAAGCAGCCCCACCAACCAACCUUCUGCAACUUUUUAUAUAUGAAAAGUCUAAAAUUAAAUUCAAUGUUUUAGUACAGACUGGAAGACGGCAAAAAGAAUUCGUUUCCACCCAACAACGUUGACGUCCACAUAAUCAAUUACAACUAUAUAUAGCAUCCACUCACACACAUCAAAACAACAAAACAUGGCGUCGGCGAACAGAGCAUCCUCGUCGCUGAUUAAGGUGGUGGCGCUCUCCGGCUCUCUCAGGAAAGGCUCUUACAACACCGCCCUCAUUCGUUCUGGUUCCUUCUGCUUUCCUUUCUCUUUUUCUUUCAUCAGUACAACAUUCAAUAAAUAAUAAAUUUUAUUAAGAUAAUUUAUAGAUAACUUAGGUCAAUUACAUAAAAUUUUAAUUUCCAGCCGAUUUUAUAUUUUGUGCAGAUAGUCUUUUCCUAUGUUUUGAAGUGAGUGAUUGAGAUUGAAACUUUAAAGUGGAUAAAAUCUUAAAUGUAAUGAUUUUAUUUAAAGGUCGAAAGAUGAAGAUGGAAAAACAGGAAUGAAUUGUAAUUUGGUUUGACAUAGGUAUUGAGCUGAGCAAAGGAGAGGUUGAAGGGAUCGAGAUUGAGUACGUUGAUAUUUCGGAUUUGCCUUUUCUGAACACUGAUCUUGAGAAAGAUGGAAGUUAUCCCUCAGAAGUUGAAGCUUUUCGGCAGAAGAUUGCUGCAGCUGAUAGCGUUCUCUUUGCUUCCCCUGAAUACAAUUACUCUGUCACAGGUCACUGCACACCUCUCUUAUCAUCGUCAAAUUUAUAUGAUAACAUUCUUCAUAAAACAAAAUAGUCUUAGGGCUUUCAUAAAUACUGAAAGUUAGACUUGUGUUGAAAGUUGUACAUCAAUCGGAUAUGAAAUUAAUUUAAAGUAUAUAAGUAGGUGUAAACUUUAUCUUAUGAGUUAGUUUUGUGAGAUUGAAUUAGGUUUAAGGUUCAUUUCUUAACAUGAUAUCAGUUAAGUGUGAGUCUAUUUUAAUUGUGAUUCGUUUGGAUAUAUUCUUCUACUUGUUAUCGAACCAUUAUUUAAUGUUUAGUGUCACAUUCGAUAUGUAUAUACUUUAUUUUAUAAUUUGAUUUUCUGAGGUUGAAUUAGAGAUAAAAAUGAGAAGGUAUGAUAGAAGUCUCUUGCUCAGGUACGUUAAACCUGAAAAUUGAAUGAUAUGUUGCCUUCAAUUAGAAUGAGUUUUAGGUUAAGAAAAAUGGCUAAUUUUGUGUUUGUUUUAUUGAAUAUCAGGUCCUUUAAAGAAUGCAAUUGACUGGGCAUCAAGACCACCAAAUGUUUGGGCUGGAAAAGCUGGUGCAAUAGUGAGUGCUGGAGGAGGGCAUGGUGGAGCAAAAUCACAGUAUCAUCUACGCCAAAUUGGAGUGUUUUUGGAUCUUCAUUUCAUCAACAAACCUGAAUUCUUCCUGAAUGUAUUCCAGCCACCACCAAAGUUUAACAGUGAUGGUGACUUGAUUGAUGAAGAUGCUAAGAACAAGUUGAAGGAAAUCCUUCUCUCCUUGAAGGCAUUCACCCUAAGACUUCAAGGAAAAAAUUGAACCAACUCUACUCCUCAAAGAUUGUUGCAAUAAGCCAUGGAAGAACUUUCAAAUAGUUCCUACUUUUGGUUCUUUAGUUAAAAUAAUUGUGAUGUUCUAUUCUUUAGUAUCUCCAAUUUCCAAUUGUAGUUUUCCCAUUUGUGUCAAAGUCAGUUAUCCAACUAUUUUAAUUAUACACUUUCAUUCCAUUUCACUCAGAUAACUUAUUAGCUU
rnacentral:lncRNA from 1 species